GGCAGGGAUGAGUCGACGUUGGCGACUUCUGGCCCGACGGGACGCGACCACAUGGUGGCGGUCGCAGCAGGCUGGCAGAAGCGCAUCGAUGUAGCCGACCUCUGAGGACAGCGUGGCAGAGAGGGCAAGGGUUCAGAUGUGGAGCUCGGAGAUGGCUGCACAACAGCAGAGUGGCAUUUUCAAGGUAUCUAUCAACGUACAUCCAACGCCGGGGUUCCUCAGUUGCAGCAAAAGAGACACAAUGAUAUCAGAAAGGAAUAGAGGGAGCCAUCUCUCAUGUUCGCUGGCAAGAAAACUGUUUCAUCAUUAGAAUAGGGGUGGAUCUUGGAAAAUAUGUAAGGCAACUAUCCAUGGUACACACCAGAUGUGAACGUGGAGAGGGUGGAGGACGUGGUGAAGCACCAGCAGCUGCUUGAGGAUGCAUGAGACCUGCAACACCUGCCCGCCUUGGCAGUGGGUGUCAUCCAGAUUGCAGAGAUAUUAUCCAAGCUAGAAAGAAAGGGUGGAGGAUAAAUUGUUAUGGUUGCAAAAUAAGAAGAUUUACAAUGUGUUGCAGCAACAUUAGGUGGAACUAUUCAGCUUCAGCUUCAGGUAUAGUUCGUUAAAGAGGACAUCACCUCCUCUUCCAGCUCUAGACACCAAUAUUUGGCAUGAUGCAAGGAUGGCCUCUACGCUUGACGACCUACCGCUUUCUAGGUUGAGUUAUUCCUUUUUUUCUUGUUCGGCUAAAUUAGAUUUAUGCAUAUCUGUGAUGUCGAUGGCUAUUGUCGAUUUUCCUCUUUCUCUCUCAUGUUGUUCUCUCUUCUGCUUAUGAAUGAAGGGAAAAUCAAUUGAGUUUGAGAAAGGAAACAAAUAGCUCGUCUAGAGAAAGGAUGCUCUCAUAGAUUGUUAAUUAACCUGUUUGUGGAUAAUGGCCUAUUGGUAUCUUUGUUUGGUGUCUGUGGGAUAUGGCAAGAGGUGAUGGCCUCAUGGAUCAUUGAUUGUACUUGAUGAUUGGGUAUUCCUUCCCCGUAUACAUUUGUAGUGAAGAAACAUUUUUUCUGUUUAUAAUAAUUAUACAUAUCGUGCAUUGAAUUUUACUCUGUGUUAUCGUUUAAUUUUUAUUGUGCAGAAGAUUUCAGUAGAGAAUUGCUCUUCCGUGCCUGCAACAUCCUAAGAGACAUGUGGUUAGAACAUGGCAGCGCAUAUCAUCUCCGGGAUUAGAGCAGUCAUCCAAUGUAUCCGGGAUCCUAACAAUUCAGAUCCAGUUGUAACUUGUAAGGCACAAAAAACCAUUUAAAUGCUGGCACUACAUCCUUGCAUGCCGAGGGAGCAGAGGAUCACUGAAUGGAAGUAAAAGGGCAAAAUGGGAGUGCGGUUGGCAAGUUACAUCCUUGUUUUGUUAUAUGUAUCGACGAUAUACUGUAUCAAGUCUUAGCAUGUCAGAUACAAACUUUCUUAUUAUCAUUAUAUUUGUCGCAACUUGUCAACUUGCAUAUGAGCAGUGUUUUUUUUUGUAUCACACAACUUUUUUCUCUGAAUAAUCUGUCAUCUACCUCACAUUUGGCUA